rnacentral:rRNA from 1 species
UACGUAGGGGGCGAGCGUUGUCCGGAAUUACUGGGCGUAAAGGGUGCGUAGGCGGUCUGCUAAGUUUGAUGUGAAAUCCCGGGGCUCAACCCUGGAAUUGCAUUGAAUACUGGUGGACUAGAGUACUGGAGAGGAAACUGGAAUUUACGGUGUAGCAGUGAAAUGCGUAGAGAUCGUAAGGAAGACCAGUGGCGAAGGCGACUACCUGGCCUGUUCUUGACGCUGAGGCGCGAAAGCUAGGGGAGCAAACGGG